CAACAUGACUUCUUUAUAAGCCUUUUAGUUGAAAAAAAAAUACAAUUUUUUUCAAAAAAUAACUAAUUAUACAGAUUGUAGCUACUUUAAAAGAUGAAUCUUUUAAGCUUUUCACUAUUUUAAUUUUUUAAUGUUCUUAAAAUAUAUUAAGAGGUUAAACGUACUUCAACUUUAAUAAAAUAUACAAGAAAUUACUAAUAUUUACGGUGCUUAAUCAGGUAGUUUUUUUUCCAUGUUAUCAUAUUAUAAAAACUGUGCAUUAGCAAAAGUUGUGUUGUCAUGUUC
rnacentral:lncRNA from 1 species